UGUUAGAACCAAUGUUGCCCCGACAA
rnacentral:piRNA from 1 species